UACGGAGGGGGCGAGCGUUGUCCGAAGUUACUGGGCGUAAAGCGCGCGUAGGCGGGGCGGAAAGUCCGCUGUGAAAGCCCGAGGCUUAACCUCGGCGGGUCGGUGGAUACUUCCGUUCUUGAAGGUGCUAGGGGGAGAUGGAAUUACCGGUGUAGCGGUGAAAUGCGUAGAUAUCAGGAGGAACACCGGUGGCGAAGGCGGAUCUCUGGGCCUUACCUGACGCUCAGGUGCAAAAGCUAGGGGAGCGAACAGG
rnacentral:rRNA from 1 species